GAAAUGCGAUAAGUAGUGUGAAUUGCAGAAUUCAGUGAAUCAUCGAAUCUUUGAACGCACAUUGCGCCCUUUGGUAUUCCAAAGGGCAUGCCUGUUCGAGCGUCAUUUGUACCCUCAAGCUUUGCUUGGUGUUGGGCGUCUUGUCUCUAGCUUUGCUGGAGACUCGCCUUAAAGUAAUUGGCAGCCGGCCUACUGGUUUCGGAGCGCAGCACAAGUCGCACUCUCUAUCAGCAAAGGUCUAGCAUCCAUUAAGCCUUUUUUCAACUUUUGACCUCGGAUCAGGUAGGGAUGCCCGCUGAACUUAAGC
rnacentral:misc_RNA from 1 species